rnacentral:rRNA from 1 species
UACGGAGGAGGCAAGCGUUAUCCGGAAUUAUUGGGCGUAAAGCGUCCGUAGGCGGUUUAGUAAGUCUGCUGUUAAAGCGCGGGGCUUAACUCCGUAUCGGCAGUGGAAACUACUAGACUAGAAUGUGGUAGGGGUAGAGGGAAUUCCCAGUGUAGCGGUGAAAUGCGUAGAUAUUGGGAAGAACACCGGCGGCGAAGGCGCUCUACUGGGCCAUAACUGACACUGAUGGACGAAAGCUAGGGGAGCGAACAGG